UUACGUACACGUCCAUUAUUCGUAUGUUCGUCGCCGCGCCUAUUAAUUCAGCAGCAGCUUGCCUUGCUAUUGCCUGUCCCGUUGCUUUCUUCUCUCUUGGGUUUGCGGUGGGGGAUCAGCUCGGCGGCAGGGAACCGAGAAGGCCGGCUCGGCUAGGAGGCGGCGGUGGCGUUUGCUUUUGGACAGGGUUGGCUGGGAGCCUGCGAUGUUGGCAUGGUUCAAUCAAAUCGGGCGAUCCUUGCGGAUGCUCCCGUCCUUUGAUCUGAUUGAGCCGUGCCAAUAUCACAAACUUCCCAAGCCUAUAGUUACGCGUGCUACUCCUACUUUCUCAAGCAAGGAGACUAGGAGAGAGAGAGAGAGAGAGAGAUUGUUGCUGGCAUUAUCAGGUCAACUUUACAAGUAUAGCUGGCAGAAGUUGUCUAGUUGACGACGACCUAUGGUUUUCGAAUGAUGGUUAUCUUUGCUAUUUAUAUAAGUGCAUAACUAAGACAAGAGAUGACACAUGAUGGUUU